rnacentral:rRNA from 1 species
AUACGGAGGAUCCGAGCGUUAUCCGGAAUUAUUGGGUUUAAAGGGUGCGUAGGCGGCCCGGUAAGUCAGGGGUGAAAGACGGUGGCUCAACCAUCGCAGUGCCUUUGAUACUGCCGGGCUUGAAUGUAGAUGAGGUGGGCGGAAUGUGACAAGUAGCGGUGAAAUGCAUAGAUAUGUCACAGAACACCGAUUGCGAAGGCAGCUCACUAAGGUACGAUUGACGCUGAGGCACGAAAGCGUGGGGAUCAAACAGGAUUAGAUACCCUGGUAGUCCACGCCCUAAACGAUGAACACUCGAUACCGGCGAUAUACAGUCGGCGUCCAAGCGAAAGCGUUAAGUGUUCCACCUGGGGAGUACGCCCGCAAGGGUGAA